AUACGGAGGAUGCGAGCGUUAUCCGGAUUUAUUGGGCGUAAAGGGUGCGCAGGCGGCUUUGUAAGUCAGCGGUGAAAUUUUGCAGCUUAACUGUAGAAGUGCCGUUGAUACUGUGAGGCUAGGAUUUGGUUGCUGUGGGUGGAAUGUGUGGUGUAGCGGUGAAAUGCUUAGAGAUCAGACAGAAUAUCGAUUGCGAAGGCAGCUGAGAAAACACAGAUUCACACUGAGGAACGAGAGGGUAGGGAUCAAACUUAGUUAGAUUCCCAGGUAAUCCACACUGUAAACGAAGAUAACUCGCUGUCGGGGAUAACCAUUCGGUGGCCAAGCGAAAGCGUUAAGUUAACCGCCUGGGGAGUACGGCCGCAAGGUUGAAACUUAAAUGAAUUGACGGGG
rnacentral:rRNA from 1 species